rnacentral:rRNA from 1 species
UACGGAGGGGGCAAGCGUUGUUCGGAUUUAUUGGGCGUAAAGCGCAUGUAGGCGGCGCAGUAAGUCGGAUGUUAAAGACCCACGGCUCACCCGGGGGAAUGCGUCCGAUACUGCUGUGCUAGAGUGUGGAAGAGGAGAGUGGAAUUCCAGGUGUAGCGGUGAAAUGCGUAGAUAUCUGGAGGAACACCGGUGGCGAAGGCGGCUCUCUGGUCCAUAACUGACGCUGAGAUGCGAAAGCGUGGGUAGCGAACGGG